GGGUGACGAGCGGCGGACGGGUGAGUAAUGUCUGGGAAACUGCCUGAUGGAGGGGGAUAACUACUGGAAACGGUAGCUAAUACCGCAUAACGUCGCAAGACCAAAGAGGGGGACCUUCGGGCCUCUUGCCAUCAGAUGUGCCCAGAUGGGAUUAGCUAGUAGGUGGGGUAAUGGCUCACCUAGGCGACGAUCCCUAGCUGGUCUGAGAGGAUGACCAGCCACACUGGAACUGAGACACGGUCCAGACUCCUACGGGAGGCAGCAGUGGGGAAUAUUGCACAAUGGGCGCAAGCCUGAUGCAGCCAUGCCGCGUGUGUGAAGAAGGCCUUCGGGUUGUAAAGCACUUUCAGCGAGGAGGAAGGUGGUGAACUUAAUACGUUCAUC
rnacentral:rRNA from 1 species